rnacentral:piRNA from 1 species
UGUGCACACGGAGAGGGGAGAGUUGGU